rnacentral:rRNA from 1 species
UUCGGAAUGAAGUUUUAGUGACUGAGUGGCGGACGGGUGAGUAACGCGUGGGUAACCUGCCUUAUACAGGGGGAUAACAGUUAGAAAUGACUGCUAAUACCGCAUAAGCGCACAGGAUUGCAUGAUCUGGUGUGAAAAACUCCGGUGGUGUGAGAUGGACCCGCGUCUGAUUAGCUAGUUGGCAGGGCAACGGCCUACCAAGGCGACGAUCAGUAGCCGGCCUGAGAGGGUGAACGGCCACAUUGGGACUGAGACACGGCCCAAACUCC